rnacentral:rRNA from 1 species
CUACGGGGCGCAGCAGUGGGGAAUAUUGCACAAUGGACGAAAGUCUGAUGCAGCAACGCCGCGUGGAGGAUGACACAUUUCGGUGCGUAAACUCCUUUUAUAUAGGAAGAUAAUGACGGUACUAUAUGAAUAAGCACCGGCUAACUCCGUGCCAGCAGCCGCGGUAAUACGGAGGGUGCAAGCGUUACUCGGAAUCACUGGGCGUAAAGAGCGUGUAGGCGGGUUAAUAAGUUGGAAGUGAAAUCCUAUGGCUCAACCAUAGAACUGCUUCCAAAACUGUUAACCUAGAAUAUGGGAGAGGUAGAUGGAAUUUCUGGUGUAGGGGUAAAAUCCGUAGAGAUCAGAAGGAAUACCGAUUGCGAAGGCGAUCUACUGGAACAUUAUUGACGCUGAGACGCGAAAGCGUGGGGAGCAAACAGGAUUAGAUACCCUUGUAGUC